GACCUGAUGCAGCCAUGCCGCGUGUGUGAAGAAGGCCUUCGGGUUGUAAAGCACUUUCAGUUGUGAGGAAAAGUUAGUAGUUAAUACCUGCUAGCCGUGACGUUAACAACAGAAGAAGCACCGGCUAACUCCGUGCCAGCAGCCGCGGUAAUACGGAGGGUGCGAGCGUUAAUCGGAAUUACUGGGCGUAAAGCGCACGCAGGCGGUUUGUUAAGCUAGAUGUGAAAGCCCCGGGCUCAACCUGGGAUGGUCAUUUAGAACUGGCAGACUAGAGUCUUGGAGAGGGGAGUGGAAUUCCAGGUGUAGCGGUGAAAUGCGUAGAUAUCUGGAGGAACAUCAGUGGCGAAGGCGACUCCCUGGCCAAAGACUGACGCUCAUGUGCGAAAGUGUGGGUAGCGAACAGGAUUAGAUACCCUGGUAGUCCACACCGUAAACGCUGUCUACUAGCUGUUUGUGACUUUAAGUCGUGAGUAGCGAAGCUAACGCGAUAAGUAGACCGCCUGGGGAGUACGGCCGCAAGGUUAAAACUCAA
rnacentral:rRNA from 1 species